rnacentral:rRNA from 1 species
GACGAACGCUGGCGGCGUGCUUAACACAUGCAAGUCGAGCGGGAUCCAACCGGUGGCAACACCGGGGAAGAUCUAGCGGCGAACGGGUGAGUAACACGUGAGCAACCUGCCCCGAAGACUGGGAUAACACCGGGAAACCGGUGCUAAUACCGGAUGUCGUCAUUAGGCCGCAUGACCUGAUGAUGAAAGGAUUCAUCGCUUCGGGAGGGGCUCGCGGGCUAUCAGCUUGNGGUGGGGUAACGGCCUACCAAGGCGACGACGGCUAGCUGGUCUGAGAGGACGACCAGCCACACUGGGACUGAGACACGGCCCAGACUCCUACGGGAGGCAGCAGUGGGGAAUCUUGCGCAAUGGGCGAAAGCCUGAACGCAGCAACGCCGCGUGGGGGAUGAAUGCCUUCGGGUU